AUACGGAGGAUGCAAGCGUUAUCCGGAUUUAUUGGGUUUAAAGGGUGCGUAGGCGGUUUGAUAAGCGGGAGGUGAAAUGCCGGCGCUCAACGUCGGAAGUGCCUCCCGAACUGGUGGACUGGAAUGACUCUGCCGUGGGCGGAAUGUGUAGUGUAGAGGUGAAAUGCUUAGAGAUUACACAGAACACCGAUUGCGAAGGCAUCUCACGAAGGGUUGAUUGACGCUGAGGCACGAAAGCGUGGGGAUCAAACAGGAUCAGAUACCCUGGUAGUCCACGCAGUAAACGAUGAUGGCUAACCGCUGGUUUUUUCGGAUCAGUGGCCAAGCGAAAGCGAUAAGCCAUCCACCUGGGGAGUACGACCGCAAGGUUGAAACUCAAAUGAAUUGGCGGGG
rnacentral:rRNA from 1 species